GCGAGACGGUACCCGCGCCCCACAGUCCACCCGCUCCUCGGAGUCCCCCCGCGCCCCGGAGUCCACCCGCGCCCCGGAGUCCACCCGCGCAGGUCCACUUCUCCAUCCCUGCUCUCGACCUCCGCCCCUGCGGUGGGGGAAGUUCCUGGGGCGGUGGCUGGGACCAGGCCGGGUUUUAGGCGGGCGCAGAUUUCCGGGCUAACUUUCCUCGCCGUCUCAGCGCGGGAAGGGGGAAAUGGGAAACCCGGGCCAGAGCAGCGGAGCUUCCCAGCCGCACACUUCCUCCCUCCAGCCGUUUGUCUCGGCAGGGGAGGGCCCAGGCAGCCAAGCCGGCAGGCCCACUGGUUAUCCGACCUUGUGCUCUGGCCGUGGGUGGAGACCUUACAUCCAGCUCAGAGCGCCUCCUCCCAUCCCCUGUGUCCUCUAGGCCUCCCCAGACUUUGCCUUUUAGCCUUCCAGUGAAACAAGUUCUGUAUCCAAGAUAUACAAUUAAGUGGACAAAGCAGAUUGCAGAAAGUCUUUUCGUAGCUCACAAGGGGACAUCAAAGAUGACAAAGAGGAGUGGAAGAAGACAGAGAGAAUCAAUGUGAGGAGCCUGGAACAGGGCUCUGAAUUGUCUUCCCACAGUGAAAUCACUUGUCUAUUGCUGAGCCAAGAAUUUGACUCUGAGCAUCUAGGAUGAGAAAGAAGAACUGGCACCUACGCCAUCUCUGCCCCUCGGGACUGACUAUUUUGGAUCUCACUCUGUUGCCCAGGCUGGAAUGCAGUGAUACGAUCAUGACUCACUGCAGCCUCAAACUCCUGGGUUCAAGUAACCCUCCCACCUCAGCUUUCUGAGUAACUGGGACUACAGUCUUCUAGUAAAAUUGAUGCUCCAAGAAGAUACACAACGUUGACCAUGUGGAUUCAGAUAUCUCCCGCUUGGAUCUCAGCCUGGAUCUUGUUGUUUGAGAAGCAUAGAUUAGCUACAGAAUGCCAUGUCAUACAUCCAAUAAAAUUCAACUCUGCAAGCAUGAGAGAGAAGAGGAAGGAAAAGAGAGAAUCUGAAGUGUGAGUGAUUCUGUUUACCAUUCCACAGAGUAAGUGGCUGCCUGGGAGUGUGUGUGAGAUGGGAGUGGGAGAGAAUCUUCUGUUCUUCCCUUGGACCUCAGUUCCACGGAGCUUUUCAGCGUGUAAAACAUCUUACCAUGGACAUUCUGGGUUUCGGUUUAAAAAGAUGUAUUUUUGGUUUGACACAGUCUCUCACUGAAACCAGCUGCUUCAGCUGACAGUCAAACUAAGAGUCAAGGAUUAACUGUACAGUUAGGGACACAGCAGCCAUGGCAAAACUUACUGAGAAAUGGCCAUCUCCCAUGUAGCAUUCUGCUAAGGGAUUUCAAGGGCAUUUUGACUUUUGACUUUUUUACCUGGCACGCUGACUUGGCGAGCUAACCCCUGUGCAAGAUGCCACUCAAGAAGCCACUCCGUUGUUUAUAAUUAAGACAGCAGGUGAGGUGGCCCUGUACUUUGAGAUUUAAACAAUAGUGACUUAAGCUCUUUCUCCUGUUUUCUGUAGGAAGUCCAGCAUGCUUACUGAGACUCCCUCCAUCCCUGGGGCUGACAGUCCCGUGGGUUUGUUCUGGCUCUAGGUGUCCACCCCCGAGGAGCUCUGAAUUCACAGUGUCGCAUGAAGGGACAGCACCCUGCUCUCCCUGUGCAAGGCACUGAGCUUCAUGUCAAACUUGGCCUCUGUGUUUUGUUCCCACCAGGCCCUUCUCCCAAGAAAUGUACACGUAGCAAACUUUACUCAAAGUGUGAGGACUCAGGAGGGAUUUUAAAAAAUCAUAAAAAUGCCGAGUUUAAAAUUAGAUCGUAUUAGUGUUGUUUUCCUUAGAAGGAAGAAAAAAAGUUUAAAAAUUAAAAAAAGAGAUAAAAUUAGAUCUUAUAUAUCUCUCUCCUGGAAAGUUCCUUAACAGCCUUGCUGUAGGGGAAAUGUCUUUCUCACCGAACACUUUUCUUGGAAGAUUCCGGCCUUCCACCUUGUUGUUUGCCUUCUCUGUCUGUAAAACAUUCAAAUUCUCUCAUUUAUCCUAGAAGGCAGUUUAGCUCUACAGCCCCUACACAGUCCUAGACCUCCUUUCUGUAUCUACUAUUAAGUACCAUUCACACCAAGGGUCACCUACUCUGAGUUUCAAUCAUUAUUAAUAAAGAAGGGAAAGUGGAGGCUUUGAAAUUCCCAUAUUUUCUUCAUGUCUCUCCACCAGUCUUUGUAAGUGAAAUAGAGGCUGAUAGAGAUUUACUUUCUCAUUGAUAUUAACUAUGCUUCUCCUCUUAGAAGACAGAGGCAUCUGUAGUCAGUGUCAAAUAUUUCCCACCCUACCAUAUAUAUAUAUGAAAUACAUGGAUUAUGUUCUAUGGACAAUUGGGUAUCUUGUUUGUUUUAGUUACUAUUGCUGUAUAACAAAUCAUUCCAAACUUACAGGUUAAUCAACAACAAUUUAUUAUGCCCACAGAUUCUGCAGAUCAGGGAUUUGAGAGGAUCAUGGUGGAAUCACUUGUUUCUGUUCCAUGAUGUCUGGGGCCUCAAAUGGGGAGAUACAGAGGUUGGGGAUGGCUUCGUGGGUGAGGGCUAGAAUUAUUAAGAGGGUUAUCACUUACAUGCCUGGCAGUUGAUGUAAGUCAUCAGCUGAGAUGUCAGCUGGGGACAUCCACUGAAAUACCUACUCAUGGCCUGUCCAUGUGGUGCCUUAGGCCUCGUCACAGCAUGGUGGCUGGGUCCCAAGAGUGAGCAUCUCAAGAGAGCAAGGUGAAAGUGCAUGACAUUUUAAUGAGUCAGCCUUGAAAGUCACAUAAUGUUAGUUCUGCACUAUUCUUGGUCAAGGCAGACACUGAGAUCUGCCCAGCUUCAAGGGGACGUGGCAAAGACCCCAUCAUUUGAUAGGAGGAUCGUCGAGGUCACAUUGUAGUGAAAGCCUGUGAGACGAGUGGUGAUGUUUCUGCCAUGUUGGAAAAUGCAAUCUGCUACACUGCUCUUUUCAUUUAACAUAUCAUACCAUUAAAAUAAUCCAUCAACUCUGUGAAUACAUCCAUAGAACUUAUUCAUUUACUAGUUCCUUAGUAUAGGACUUUUCUCAUCACUUCCCCAUAAGAGAGAAGAAGGAGGUAUGGUUAUUUUCCUUCCCUAAAACCAAGAGAGAGAGGCCCAAAGAGAAUUAUUUGACAAGUGGGAUUCCUAUUCCUGCAGUGUCGACUCCAUUAAUUUGGGGUCUGUUAUCUUUCCUUUGAUGGUUUUUGAGUCUUGGACCAGCAGGAGCACCUGAGGCUGCUUAGGACAUGGAUAUAGGGGUCUGUGGCUUCUCAGGUGUGUCAAGGACACAUACAUUUCUCCUGGGUCGAGGGAACACCUUAGGAAGUGGGACUUGAGCUGUUCUGCCAUUAUUCCCCAAGUGGGUUUCCCACUGGAUGAGAUACCCCUGGUAGAAGGAAAGUGUGGGGAAGACUGUGGUUGGGGAGGAAAAGGAAAGGAAGCAGCUGGAGCCCUAGCCAGGCCACCCAUGUAGGUGAAUAUGCAGGGGAUGGCCCUACGACAUUCUCCAAAGAACCCAAUGGAUGAGCCCCAUGAAGGAGCCACACAGCAGGAGUCAAAGCUCAGUCUGCAUUAUCCAGGAACCAGUGACCACUGAAAUAAAAAGGAUCAGCUCCUCAUCAUAAGCAGCUAAAUGAGGAAACAUCUCUGUCCUUCCCUCUUUCCAUCCUGCCCCAACAGCAGAGGGCAUGCGCAUAGGAGAUGGCGUGGUGAGAAGAGACCAUCCUCUUUCCCCUACAACCUUUAAGCAGCUUAGAAACUCAAGUCUAGGUUUGUGUAUGUGUUUGGGCGUGGUGAGGAAAAGAGAGUCAUUACAAGAAAACAAGUUUCAAGUUUUGAAAUGCAUGGGACUGAGUCCUACAGAAACAAAAAUGUCACUGAAUAACCCUUAAUAACUGGAAAUAAAUGGAAUUGCACUAAGAUGAUGUCAAGCACCAUUAAAGAGGAUUUGAGAACACACAGUUGGUGGCAAUUCUGUGUUUGAAACAGUGGUAAGCUGAGACUCCUUGAUAAACUAGGUACAAUUGUAGUUAUUGGGUAUCAGCCUUUUUUAAAGACUUAAUUCUUAGCCAAAAUGCCCUUCCAGGAAGGCUGUACUUUUCCCAGCUCCUUGAAGAUGCCCACUUCACGGGAUGACAUUUAUUCAGGCCUGGAGAGGUGCAAUCUCAUUAUGUGGGUCAUUAGAGCAACACAUUAAAGGCGACAAAGGGAGUGUCGCCAAAAGACUUUGUAGCAAGUUAUGUGGAAGUGAGCAAGAGAACACGACUGCCUCACCUCUUGGGGGUGGCGAAGGGUUAUGUUUAGAUGGGGUGUAUAUGAGUGUCUGGGGUUUUUUACUCAUAUUGAUGGCCAAAUUAUUUUCCCCUUCUGAUUCCCUUUGAGAAUCCACUUCACUACCUGCUUCUUGCUGCAAACUGGGAGUUGUAAAAUCAGAGAGUCUAGGGUGUCACCCGAAUUGCCCUCAUGUAUGGCAUAGCUGUGUGUGUAGAGCAGAACGAG
rnacentral:lncRNA from 10 species